rnacentral:lncRNA from 1 species
GCCCAAAAAAGUUUAAUAUUAAAGGUCAUUUUAGUGCUUUGUUGAUUUUAAUUGAGUUUAUGGUCGUUUUAUUUAAAAGUCAUCCAAACCCAAGCGAAAAGUAUUGAUCUAUUUUCGAUAUUUAUAUGCUCAUAUGUACUGAUAAUUUUAAAAGUAUUUGUUUUGCUUUCCAUACUUCGUUCCUUAUUGUUAAUUUUCCUUUUUUGGAUGGUGAUGUUCCUUU